rnacentral:tRNA from 1 species
GCCCUCGUAGCUCAGGGGAUAGAGCACCGCUCUCCUAAAGCGGGUGUCCCAGGUUCGAAUCCUGGCGGGGGCA